AAAUGAACGAGCCUAACCCAGCUAGAAAAAGGAGGAAGCUCUAGAAACUUUAGUGUUUCAGUCGAGAAAAUCAACAGUCCCACCCUCUGAAAAGCAACAAAACAUGGGGAAACUAAUCUUUGAAAAACUUUUCAACAUUGCUAAGACCUUUCUUAUCCCAUGAACAACACAAUCCCCAGAUCUCUUCAAAAAAUCAUACCUCUCUUAUCUCUCUCAAUCGCUCCUCUUGCAAACUUAGGAACACUAUCUCGUGAUCUCCAUUGUUCUCAUGUCUUCAAGCCUUCAAUAGCCAGUAAGUGUGCAACUGCAUUAUCGUUCGAGGAAAGUGCAUCUCCUUCAACUUGCAUGUCCAUUAAACCUAGAUCAAAUCCCUCCUAGACACUUUGAAUGCAUACAAGCGCUUCCACCGCAAAAUCUGAAGGCCGCAUCAAAGUUGAUUUUCACGAACGGAGGUUUCGUCGGUUGCCAUCUUUUCAACUCCAUCCAUCGAAUAGCACAUGCGAACAACCUGCAAUAUUCGUUGGUGUUGUGUUCAAAAUACCAGGUGAGCCACUCCAGUAACUCCAUAUUUAACAUUGUUUCAUGCUAAAUCCGGCCUAAAUGAUGCCACAAAUCCUUUGUCACAGGGUAGUCCUGCAGGGUAUGGGUACUGGUUUUAAUUCCACCUGCACAUCGCGGACAGAUACUAGAAUUAGUCAUUCUUCUAUAGUGUAGCAUACUUAGGGUACGCAGAUAGUUUUUUUAGAUUUUCCAGAUUGUAAUUUUUUGCUUAGAGAGCAAUUUUAAGUCUCACGAUUUUUUGUAAAAGUUCCUAAUUUGUUCCUGGUUGUGUACAUGGUUAGCUUCUGAAUCCUAUUGUAAUAGAGCUUUGUAUGCACUGCGAACUGUAAAUUCUCCAAA